UGGCCAGCAGCUCCCCCAAGACCAGUCCUGGCCAAGAGCACAGACACUGAGUGUCCCAGGGCAGGUUGUUCAGGAAUGGACUCGGUAAGCUUAUACUUUCAUGGAGACAUCAUAGGAUUGGAACUUCAAGGAACCUUCUGGAAAGUCUCCCCCAGAUUUUCGAGGAUGGAUGGUGUUUCCUAUAUUUAGUUCUCCCAGGACUGAGCGAGCCCACAGUCAGGUCAGCCCAGGCCAGGCUCUCAACAGCCUCCCUAGCAAGGAUCUCUUCUUCAAACUCUCAACCAAUUCCAGGCCAUUUCUUCUGCCCUCUGUGCAAAUGAUUUAGAAGUGAUCAGUGGCUUCAUCGAAAACCUCUUCACUUACUUAAGCUUUUUAAGCCCCAAUUUCUUUUAUGCUAAAUAAUCCAAACUGUUAUGAUCUUCUUAAUUCUGUUAUUAGCUGUGUUUUGCUGAGCCCUCUUGGGUGUCUCCUAAGACCUGGAAGAGCCUAAUAAAGCUCCCAGGGACCAUGACUUCACAAACCAGGUCUACUAUCCCGUGACGUACGAGCUUUCUCUAAAUCACGUUUGCAGAAAACACGGGAAAGUUGCUGUGAUGACCCCAGGUCUACUAUCCCGUGACGUACGAGCUUUCUCUAAAUCACGUUUGCAGAAAACACGGGAAAGUUGCUGUGAUGACCCCUGGGGUUGUUUCUCCUCUGUUUUGCUUGCUCUUUGUUGUUAUUGGUAAUAUUUCUACUGUGUGAUUCAGCACAUAACGACUGUUUUUUUUUUUUUUUAAUUAGCAAUUAUAGUUGGCAGAAAGAAGAAAAUUAGAAAUACCAUCAUGACACUUCUCAGGGGCAACUGCUGCCGGGAGGAGGCACGGGUUUGAUCCCUGGUCCGGGAAGAUCCCACAUGCCUCUGAGCAACUAAGCCUGUGCACCCCAACUACUGAGCCUGCGCUCCAGGGCCCGGGAGCCGCGGCUGCUGAAGCCCUCACAAUCUAGAGCCUGCACUCCACAAUAAGAGAAGCCACCACAAUGAGAGGCCUGUGCACCACAGCUAGAGAGGAG
ensembl:lncRNA